ACCCAUGUCUCCUACGCGGGCAGAGUGAAGCUGCAAAGCUGAGAAGACUUGAAUGGCCUUAUAUCUUCAAAGAAGUGCCUUGAGCUCUGGAAUGCCGCAGAGUGGGAGAAACCACCGAACACCAGGAAAUGUCAACAAUGUGACAGGAACGCCUGGGCAGGAAAACUCUCCAAGAAAGAUUCUGUAAACCUGCAAACAAGCAAAUUAUCUCACAUCUAUGCGGUUGCA